rnacentral:miRNA from 1 species
UGGACGGAAGUACUGAUUUAUAAU